rnacentral:rRNA from 1 species
GAUGAACGCUGGCGGCAUGCCUUACACAUGCAAGUCGUACGAGAGUUUUUAACUCGAGUGGCGGACGGGUGAGUAACACGUAAGACUUUACCUUUAGGAGGGGGAUAACCACUGGAAACGGUUGCUAAUACCCCAUAUGCUUUCGAGUGAAAUGGGUUUCCGCGUAAAGAAAAGCUUGCGGCUGAUUAGCUUGUUGGUGAGGUAAUGGCUCACCAAGGCGACGAUCAGUAACUGGUUGGAAAGGAUGAUCAGACCCACUGGAACUGAGACGCGGUCCAGACUCCUACGGGAGGCAGCAGUGGGGAAUUUUCCGCAAUGGUCGAAGGCCUGACGGAGCAAUACUGCGUGGGGGAUGAAGGCGUAUGGGUGGUAAUCCUCUUUUUUCAGGGAGGAAUCAAUGACGUGUACCUGAAGAAUAAGCAUCGGCUAACUCCGUGCCAGCCGCCGCCGUAAUAC